UACGUAGGCAGCGAGCGUUGUUCGGAAUUACUGGACGUAAAGAGUGUGUAGGCGGUGUUCCCAGUCUGUUGUGAAAUCUCCCGGCUUAACUGGGAGGGUGCAGCGGAAACUAGAAUGCUAGAGGGUGGGAGAGGUAAGCGGAAUUCCUGGUGUAGCGGUGAAAUGCGUAGAUAUCAGGAGGAACACCUGUGGUGUAGACAGCUUACUGGACCACUUCUGACGCUGAGACACGAAAGCGUGGGUAGCAAACAGG
rnacentral:rRNA from 1 species